GGGGGCCCCGUAGUCUGCCUCACGGGUAGAUCUCCCACCCUUGAAUAUUAUACCUUCGUUGCUUUGGCAGGCCGUGGAAACACCAUGGGCUCCGGCUGAUGCGUGCCUGCCAGAGGAAACAAAACUCUGUUUUUAGUGAUGUCUGAGUACUAUAUAAUAGUUAAAACUUUCAACAACGGAUCUCUUGGUUCUGGCAUCGAUGAAGAACGCAGCGAAAUGCGAUAAGUAAUGUGAAUUGCAGAAUUCAGUGAAUCAUCGAAUCUUUGAACGCACAUUGCGCCCCGUGGUAUUCCGCGGGGCAUGCCUGUUCGAGCGUCAUUUCAACCCAUCACGCUUCGGCGUGGUCUUGGGGCCUGCGGUUUCGCAGCCUCUAAACGCAGUGGCGGUGCUAUUGAGCUCUGAGCGUAGUAAUUUCUCUCGCUAUAGAGUCUCGGUGGUGACUUGCCAACAACCCCCAAUUUUUAUCAGGUUGACCUCGGAUCAGGUAGGGAUACCCGCUGAACUUAAGCAUAUCAAA
rnacentral:rRNA from 1 species